GAUGAACGCUGGCGGCGUGCCUAAUACAUGCAAGUCGAGCGAACGGACGAGAAGCUUGCUUCUCUGAUGUUAGCGGCGGACGGGUGAGUAACACGUGGAUAACCUACCUAUAAGACUGGGAUAACUUCGGGAAACCGGAGCUAAUACCGGAUGAUAUUUUGAACCGCAUGGUUCAAAAGUGAAAGACGGUCUUGCUGUCACUUAUAGAUGGAUCCGCGCUGCAUUAGCUAGUUGGUAAGGUAACGGCUUACCAAGGCAACGAUGCAUAGCCGACCUGAGAGGGUGAUCGGCCACACUAGAACUGAGGCACGGUCCAGACUCCUACGGGAGGCAGCAGUAGGGAAUCUUCCGCAAUGGGCGAAAGCCUGACGGAGCAACGCCGCGUGAGUGAUGAAGGUCUUCGGAUCGUAAAACUCUGUUAUUAGGGAAGAACAUAUGUGUAAGUAACUGUGCACAUCUUGACGGUACCUAAUCAGAAAGCCACGGCUAACUACGUG
rnacentral:rRNA from 1 species